rnacentral:rRNA from 1 species
AGGGGUUCCACGCGUACCCAUCCCGAACACGACCGUUAAGCCCUCCAGCGCCGAUGGUACUUGGACCGAAGGGUCCUGGGAGAGUAGGACGUUGCCA